GGUUCAUCUCCUGGAGCCUUUGAUCCAGGAGAUCCUCUCGACUACGAGUCUCGAGGGUCUUCUGACAGAAUGGAGGUAAGGAUCCUUCGAAAAUGGAAUCAUGAUCAAACUGAGGGCUCUCCACCCUCGGCUUCCCCUUUCCGGGGAAGACAAGGCGACUGGUCCAAGUGGCCCACCCUAUUGCCAGAUUUUGGAACUCUGAUGAUGCUCUUUUCAGCCGCACUGACGCCUACGGCUGUUGCUGCUGCUGCUGCAUGGCCUGCACUACUUUGG
rnacentral:lncRNA from 1 species